GGGCUGGGGCUCAGCGGUAGAGUGCUCGCCUAGCAUGUGCGAGGCCCUGGGUUCGAUCCUCAGCACCACA
rnacentral:tRNA from 1 species